rnacentral:rRNA from 1 species
GACGAACGCUGGCGGCGUGCUUAACACAUGCAAGUCGAACGGAAAGGCCCUGCUUUUGUGGGGUGCUCGAGUGGCGAACGGGUGAGUAACACGUGAGUAACCUGCCCUUGACUUUGGGAUAACUUCAGGAAACUGGGGCUAAUACCGGAUAGGAGCUCCUGCUGCAUGGUGGGGGUUGGAAAGUUUCGGCGGUUGGGGAUGGACUCGCGGCUUAUCAGCUUGUUGGUGGGGGAGUGGCUUACCAAGGCUUUGACGGGUAGCCGGCCGGAGAGGGUGACCGGCCACAUUGGGCCUGAGAUACGGCCCAGACUCCUACGGGAGGCAGCAGUGGGGAAUAUUGCACAAUGGGCGGAAGCCUGAUGCAGCAACGCCGCGUGCGGGAUGACGGCCUUCGGGUUGUAAACCGCUUUCGCCUGUGACGAAGCGUGAGUGACGGUAAUGAGUAAAGAAGCACCGGCUAACUACGUG